rnacentral:rRNA from 1 species
UACGUAGGGUGCAAGCGUUAAUCGGAAUUACUGGGCGUAAAGCGUGCGCAGGCGGUUGUGCAAGACCGAUGUGAAAUCCCCGGGCUUAACCUGGGAAUGGCAUUGGUGACUGUACGGCUAGAGUGUGUCAGAGGGGGGUAGAAUUCCACGUGUAGCAGUGAAAUGCGUAGAGAUGUGGAGGAAUACCGAUGGCGAAGGCAGCCCCCUGGGCCAAUACUGACGCUCAUGCACGAAAGCGUGGGGAGCAAACAGG